AAUUAUUUUACUCUUUGAAAUUUUAUUUUUAAUUGCAUACCUAUGUAAUUACUUACAAAAAAU
rnacentral:sRNA from 1 species